GGCCAGGAUACCUUUGGCCUUCAUGGCCAGCUGGGCACAGGUGGAUCAUGUUCAGCUGCUGUAAACCAGCACUCCCAGAUGGGACACUAGGAUGAAUUUCUUCACAAGCAGGGCAGUGAAACACUGAAAGAAGCUAGGAAGAGAGAGGGUGGACUUUUCUGCUUUUAAAUAUUCAAAAGAAUGGACUGACUGGUAUCCAGAUGCUGACCCUAACCAAUGCUUCAAUGAUUGUUAAUGACCCAGAAAAGGAAGAGGAUAUCCACUGCUAGCUGUUGCAAAGCACCUUAGGGAUCAGUGGGGCUGUGAGCACUAAUGGAGUCUGAUUUCCUACAGUGUGGAGCAGCUAAGCCCAAAGAAAGCCUGGUAAUGACUUUAAGGAUAUGGCUGUGCUCAUGAGUAAGAGAUCAGAUGCUCAAGACAGCUCUACAGAAAGUAAGCAUGAGAAGGAGAUGAAGAUGCAAAUGUGUUAUGGAAGAAAAGCAGGGGCUGAAUAUAUUUUUCAUCAAAAUUUUCACUCAAAGUAUUCAUAAUAAAC